UUGAAAAUUUACAGUAUUCCUAAUUUCAUUCCUGUAAAUUAAACUGAAUGUGUUAUAUUAUUAAAAUACGUGUGUUGGUUGAACAUAUCUGUACUCAAGAGGUUAACAAUCAUAAUUCCACUUUUAUUUGAAUAGGUAACACCAUUUUGAAAUGCUUAUUUAAUAAACAUUUACAAAAUGGUAUUUUGUCAUUUUUAUACAAGUGCACUAUUGAUAGUUUGUUUCUGGGAUACAAUUAUAUCUUCGUACAUUAUUAAUAUUUUAUCACACUUCUAUGAAUAAUACAACUAUUACUUUUUAAUUGAAUUGGCCUUUAAUUUUAAUUGAAAAAAUAAGUCCACAGUAAACCGUUGUCAAAUGAUGAGCUGCGGCAUAUUAUUACAAAUAAAGCGGCUUCUCUUUAAGGGAUGAUGACCGAUGGAAUAAAACAAUCGAAUUCGUGAUCGAUAUCAGUGAGACCAAAUUCUAAGAUCAGACACGUGUCCAGCCCACAACAAUGCUGCAGUUUUAUGAUUCCGGAAUACCAUAAAAGAUGGUUUACACCCAAAAAGAAAAAACACAAGUUCAUCAUCGUUCCGCCUAAAAUACACCUUAGAUGUUUUGGUAAUCUCAAGAUCUGUCAACGUUCAGCAAUUAUAUCAGUUCACACGAAAUAAUAUAGUACGUCAUGACUUGUAACACAUUAUUAUUAUUCUAUACAGCCUGUGUCAACAAUCUAGUCCAAUGUUUAUGUACGUUUGUCAUCAAUAGCAUUCAUAUAUUUUUAUACGCACAUUUUAAAAUUAUAUUUAUAGAUAGUAAACUUAAACAACGUAUAUUUAUACAUUAGCUCUAAUAUAUGUUUAUUUUUUUAAAGUAAAAUAAUCCUAAAAAGGCCCAUAUUGCCAUAUAAAGUAACAUUAAUAAUUGAUUGGCAUAUUAUAUAACAUAUAAGAGUUUUCUAUUUUAAAAGUAUUUCAAUUUACAAAUUAUUUAUACACCAACAGUAAUUUCAUAAAGGUAAGACAAGUGCGCAUAUAGGCGCAACAGAAUGUUGAUGGUUGAUUAACCUAAAUUUAAACAAUAGUUUUAUAAAAGUUUGUUAUAUAUAUAUUCAU